CCUACGGGGGGCAGCAGUGGGGAAUAUUGCACAAUGGGCGAAAGCCUGAUGCAGCCACGCCGCGUGAGCGAUGAAGGCCUUCGGGUCGUAAAGCUCUGUCCUCAAGGACGAUAAUGACGGUACUUGAUGAGGAAGCCCCGGCUAACUACGUGCCAGCAGCCGCGGUAAUACGUAGGGGGCUAGCGUUAUCCGGAAUUACUGGGCGAAAAGGGUGCGUAGGUGGUUUCUUAAGUCAGAGGUGAAAGGCUACGGCUCAACCGUAGUAAGCCUUUGAAACUGGGAAACUUGAGUGCAGGAGAGGAGAGUGGAAUACCUAGUGUAGCGGUGAAAUGCGUAGAUAUUAGGAGGAACACCAGUUGCGAAGGCGGCUCUCUGGACUGUAACUGACACUGAGGCACGAAAGCGUGGGGAGCAAACAGGAUUAGAUACCCCUGUAGUC
rnacentral:rRNA from 1 species